AAGCCACACAGCUAACCAGAGAAGAUAUAAGUUCCUGCCUUCCUUACUUCCCAUUCUCAUAAGCAAGUUUCCGCAUGAACAAGGUGGCAGAUUUUUGAUGAACCAAGCUGGCUGGUGUCGCCUCAGUUUGUCUAAAUUACCAAGGACCGCUGGAAUUUCCCUGGGAAUAUGUUUCGGGAAAGGUCAGAAACUCUUCAGUCGUCUUCACGCUUCCACUCAGUAGCAACGUUUUUGCACACUCAUUGACUAUCAACUGGUUGUCUAUGACUCAAAUUACAUAAUGAAUCCAGCACAUAAAUUAUUUACUCAGAUUUAAUGCCAGCAACUGUUAUCUUUGUAUUUUUUUCCCCUCUGCCAGCUAAUCUGGCUCAUUUCAUUGGAAUUUUGGUCAUGCCCAUUCUCCUUCUGCACUAAAUUAACUCCAUAACGUAGUAUAAACAGAACAAGCUUGUGUGUGAUAUGCUUAACUGUUAAUUUACCUAAUUAAACUAAUUCAAUUAAAUCAUUUACAUCUUUUUGGUAACAUGCCAGUUGAUACCACAGCAGAAGUGGGAUGUUUCAGAAGAUGAUUGUUCAGCAAAUGAAUGGAAAAAAAAAUAAAAGGAAAACAAAAUGAGACAACCGUCCAAAUCUCUUGGCUUGAAAAUUAAAUGAUACUGAAAAAAUGCAGCUUUCACGGGGCACUGUGAUUAGAUAUUUUUCUGAAAUCAAUUUUCUCUACAAAUUGGUAUUUUA
rnacentral:lncRNA from 10 species